GCUGAAGGCUUCAUCACCGCAGAUGUGUCCUGACAAGCAACAUCUGGCUGUCAGUUAGCGUCUGAUGGAGAGCGUGAGGCGAACAGAGCCACGCUCUCCUCUGAGCCGCUGGUUUUCAGACAUUCACCCCCCCUGAACUCGGAGGUUCCUCUCAGAGGGUCCCGGGCCGUCUCCGGGUUCUGUGUGUCCUGCUGUCCCCUUCAUCCUCCCCAGCAGCUGCUUAGACCCCACCCCGCUCUGCUCGUUAGAGGUCACAUUUUAUGGCCAAUCACAGCCUCAUUUGUCCUCGUUAGGCGUGCGGUAAUUGUAACUGCGCUUGGCCGGCCGGCGCUCACAAGCGCUAAUCAUGACUGACAACAAUCCCGCCAUUAUUUCUCUUCAGCAGCAUCUGGGGGGGAUUACUGCUGCUUGUUCGCUCCAUCGUGCUGCUGCCGUCCUCCACUGCAGAUAUGUUUGUGUCCCGGCGAUGGAGGCGUGAGACGCGCCGGUAAACACGGCCUGCAGACCGGCGCCGCGGUGAGAGUCCAUUCUGUCAGCGGCGUCCAAUCAAUACCGAGUCCAGCUGCAUCCCGUCAGCUCCGGCUCAGCGUGUGGAUGUCAAGAGAGUCUCCGAGCCAGAAGAGAUGCUGUCCCGGUUCUGCCAGCUCACUGUGACGACGAGCCACAUUAAUCAACCCAGCGGAGAAGACAAGGCGAGAAUCCAAAUUUAACACGCUGCUGGAUUUAGACCCUGUUGACGACAGGACGGAGACUUCCAGGCCCGCUUCCUGCCCCGAAGCCCCCCCUUUACUCAGAGAAGGGGGCAACUCCGGAUGAAAAUACUCGAGGUUUUUCUGCAGAAACAGUUUCUUCACAUUUUGGUGCAUCGAUUUGGUCCGGAGACAAAGAUCUCCACCCUGAGCUCCAGAAGAUAAGGCGAGAAGUUCAGCGCUGGCGGUCAUGGAGUCGAUAAUCUGCACUCGCCGCUUUGUGUCGCCCCGGCACGCCGCGCGCAUCCUAAUUGGACACAAAAACUCCAACCAUAAACAAUGAGUGUCAUGUUGAGGAAUUUCAGAGUCUGUCUGCUCAAAUAUGAUAACGAGGCGCGCUCUCCAUCUAAAUCAAUAAAGUUGACUUGUGAUCAA